rnacentral:rRNA from 1 species
GAGGAAUAUUGCACGAAUGGGCGAAAGCCUGAUGCAGCAACGCCGCGUGGAGGACGAAGGCCCUCGGGUCGUAAACUCCUGUCAGAAGGGACGAAAAGGUUUCGGUCAAUAUCCGGAAUCUCUGACGGUACCU